rnacentral:rRNA from 1 species
GGACCUGACUGCUAUCGGAUUGAUACUAAGCCAUGCGAGUCUUUGUAGUAAUACAAGGCAGACGGCUCAGUAACACGUAGUCAAUCUAACCUAUGGACAGGGAUAACCUCGGGAAACUGAGAAUAAUACCUGAUAGAUCAUUAUACCUGGAAUGGUUUAUGGUCGAAAUGAUUUAUCGCCGUAGGAUGGGACUGCGGUCUAUCAGCUUGUUGGUGAGGUAAUGGCCCACCAAGGCUAUAACAGAUACGGGCUCUGAGAGGAGAAGCCCGGAGAUGGGUACUGAGACACGGACCCAGGCCCUAUGGGGCGCAGCAGGCGAGAAAACUUUGCAAUGUGCGAAAGCACGACAAGGUUAAUCCGAGUGUUUUCUGCUAAAGAAAUCUUUUGUCAGUCCUAAAAACACUGAUGAAUAAGGGGUGGGCAAGUUCUGGUGUCAACG